GUAAGGACCGAGCGUUGACCGGAAUCAUUGGGCGUAAAGGGUACGUAGGCGGGUUUUUAAGUUAGAAGUCAAAGGCUAUAGCUCAACUAUAGUAAGCUUCUAAAACUGGGGACCUUGAGUAAUGGAAGGGAAAGUGGAAUUCCUAGUGUAGCGGUGGAAUGCGCAGAUAUUAGGAGGAAUACCGGCGGCGAAGGCGACUUUCUGGCCAUUAACUGACGCUGAGGUACGAAAGCGUGGGUAGCAAACAGGAUUAGAUACCCUGGUAGUCCACGCCGUAAACGAUGAGUGUUAGGUGUCUGGAGUAAAUCUGGGUGCCGCAGCUAACGCAUUAAACACUCCGCCUGGGGAGUACGCACGCAAGUGUG
rnacentral:rRNA from 1 species